UCCCAAGAGCAGCUGGUGAGGAUGGCGCAGAGGCAAUGACAGGAGUGCAGUGAAAAGUUUGGUGCAUCGAUCCAGCUUCCGGACAUGUGAUCUUCUACCCUGCCCCACGGCAAGAAGAGUUUGGUGAUUUUGCUGCUCUGCUCUCUCAAGGGUGUUGCAGGCUGCGUAGCAGGGAGUGAAGCCCUUGUCGCUGCUCAUCAGACACUUUCCUACAGAAUUCUCCCUGCAGUGAUAAAAUUAGACUUGUGUUAGUGAGCUGCCAACUAGAGCAGGUAACAUUGGACAAGAAUGGUUUCUGAGCUGCUGUUCACUAGCACGUGUUUCCCCUUUCCAGCGCGGUGCCGCCGCCCAAGAAAGGAUUUUUGUGGGUCAGCCAGAUGUGCUCCUGCCUCCCACUGAGGCUCUGAGAUGGAGCCGAGUUUGCAUUCCAGUUUAUUGCAACAGAGGGUCACGGGAAAUUUCCUCAGCUAUCUCAGGCACAGAGCCAUGGAAGCAAGACAGCACGAAGACUGAACGUGUAAGAGGAUGUGGGGUGCAAUGGAGAACCUGGCAGGAGCAUCCGACGCACACGUGCACGAGUUUUGCUUUUUGCUUGGAUUGAAACUCAAAAGUUGUAAGGAAUUUGGGAAUGAGAUGGGACGUUUCAGAAGAAGAGGAAGGAGGAGAAGAAGUUGUUGUUACAGUGUUACAGUCCUGGCAAAAUCCUUUGUUCUAGCUAAUAAAAGAAGUUAGUUUAAAAAAAAAAAAAAAAAAAAAAAAAAAAAAAAAAAAAAAAAA